rnacentral:rRNA from 1 species
UACAGAGGUCCCAAGCGUUGUUCGGAUUCAUUGGGCGUAAAGGGUGCGUAGGUGGCGCCGUAAGUCGGGUGUGAAAUUUCGGAGCUUAACUCCGAAACUGCAUUCGAUACUGCGGUGCUUGAGGACUGGAGAGGAGACUGGAAUUCAUGGUGUAGCAGUGAAAUGCGUAGAGAUCAUGAGGAAGACCAGUGGCGAAGGCGGGUCUCUGGACAGUUCCUGACGCUGAGGCGCGAAAGCGUGGGGAGCAAACGGG